rnacentral:rRNA from 1 species
GUACGUACAAGCAGUGGGAGCCCCACCACUAAGCCAGUGGUGAACUCCACAUACGCAUCCUUUGCUGAGGAUACGGUUAACGGAGCGAAAGCGACGUUCAACCGCAAAAGAAGCAGAGGGGGCUUAGUGGUGGGGUGACUGCGUACCUUUUGUAUAAUGGGUCAGCGACUUAUAUUCUGUAGCAAGGUUAACCGAAUAGGGGAGCCGGAGGGAAACCGAGUCUUAACCGGGCGUUAAGUUGCAGGGUAUAGACCCGAAACCCGGUGAUCUAGCCAUGGGCAGGUUGAAGGUUGGGUAACACUAACUGGAGGACCGAACCGACUAAUGUUGAAAAAUUAGCGGAUGACCUGUGGCUGGGGGUGAAAGGCCAAUCAAACCGGGAGAUAGCUGGUUCUCCCCGAAAGCUAUUUAGGUAGCGCCUCGUGAAUUCAUCUCCGGGGGUAGAGCACUGUUUCGGCUAGGGGGCCAUCCCGGCUUACCAACCCGAUGCAAACUGCGAAUACCGGAGAAUGUUAUCACGGGAGACACACGGCGGGUGCUAACGUCCGUCGUGAAGAGGGAAACAACCCAGACCGCCAGCUAAGGUCCCAAAGUCAUGGUUAAGUGGGAAACGAUGUGGGAAGGCCCAGACAGCCAGGAUGUUGGCUUAGAAGCAGCCAUCAUUUAAAGAAAGCGUAAUAGCUCACUGGUCGAGUCGGCCUGCGCGGAAGAUGUAACGGGGCUAAACCAU